ACGAACGCUGGCGGCGUGCUUAACACAUGCAAGUCGAACGGAAAGGCCCUGCUUUUGUGGGGUGCUCGAGUGGCGAACGGGUGAGUAACACGUGAGUAACCUGCCCUUGACUUUGGGGUAACUUCAGGAAACUGGGGCUAAUACCGGAUAGGAGCUCCUGCUGCAUGGUGGGGGUUGGAAAGUUUCGGCGGUUGGGGAUGGACUCGCGGCUUAUCAGCUUGUUGGUGGGGUAGUGGCUUACCAAGGCUUUGACGGGUAGCCGGCCUGAGAGGGUGACCGGCCACAUUGGGACUGAGAUACGGCCCAGACUCCUACGGGAGGCAGCAGUGGGGAAUAUGGCACAAUGGGCGGAAGCCUGAUGCAGCAACGCCGCGUGCGGGAUGACGGCCUUCGGGUUGUAAACCGCUUUCGCCUGUGACGAAGCGUGAGUGACGGUAAUGGGUAAAGAAGCACCGGCUAACUACGUG
rnacentral:rRNA from 1 species